GUUGCUUCUGUAUUGCGGAGUGGCUGAUGUUGUAGUUGGUCAUUCACACAUAUGAUGAUAUGAAGCAUAUAGUUGUUAAAUUGCCAGUUUUAAACAGCAUGAUGAUACUUCACAUAUGCAUUGUGUUACCUGUCUGCUGGUAAAUUC